AGUGAACGCUGGCGGUAGGCCUAACACAUGCAAGUCGAACGGCAGCACAGUAAGAGCUUGCUCUUACGGGUGGCGAGUGGCGGACGGGUGAGGAAUACAUCGGAAUCUACUUUUUCGUGGGGGAUAACGUAGGGAAACUUACGCUAAUACCGCAUACGACCUACGGGUGAAAGCAGGGGAUCUUCGGACCUUGCGCGAUUGAAUGAGCCGAUGUCGGAUUAGCUAGUUGGCGGGGUAAAGGCCCACCAAGGCGACGAUCCGUAGCUGGUCUGAGAGGAUGAUCAGCCACACUGGAACUGAGACACGGUCAAGACUCCUACGGGAGGCAGCAGUGGGGAAUAUUGGACAAUGGGCGCAAGCCUGAUCCAGCCAUACCGCGUGGGUGAAGAAGGCCUUCGGGUUGUAAAGCCCUUUUGUUGGGAAAGAAAAGCAGCAGGUUAAUACCCCGCUGUUCUGACGGUACCCAAAGAAUAAGCACCGGCUAACUUCG
rnacentral:rRNA from 1 species